rnacentral:tRNA from 1 species
GGUGGCUUAGUGGUAGAGCGCAUGCCUUGUAUGCAUGAAGCCCUGGGUUCAAUUCCUCAGCACCA